rnacentral:rRNA from 1 species
UACGAAGGGUGCAAGCGUUACUCGGAAUUACUGGGCGUAAAGCGUGCGUAGGCGGUUUGUUAGGUCUGUCGUGAAAGCCCCGGGCUCAACCUGGGAAUGGCGAUGGAUACUGGCGAGCUAGAGUACGGUAGAGGAGAGUGGAAUUCCCGGUGUAGCAGUGAAAUGCGUAGAGAUCGGGAGGAACAUCAGUUGCGAAGGCGGCUCUCUGGACCAGUACUGACGCUGAGGCACGAAAGCGUGGGGAGCAAACAGG